rnacentral:tRNA from 1 species
GGACGAGUAGCAAAGAAGACAAACGCGACGGGCUGUAACCCCGUUUCCUUAUGGAUUCAGUGGUGCAAAUCCACUCUCGUUCA